rnacentral:rRNA from 1 species
UACGAAGGGGCUAGCGUUGCUCGGAAUUACUGGGCGUAAAGCGCACGUAGGCGGCUUCUUAAGUCGGUGGUGAAAUCCUGGAGCUCAACUCCAGAACUGCCUUCGAUACUGGGAGCUCGAGUCCGGGAGAGGUGAGUGGAACUGCGAGUGUAGAGGUGAAAUUCGUAGAUAUUCGCAAGAACACCAGUGGCGAAGGCGGCUCACUGGCCCGGUACUGACGCUGAGGUGCGAAAGCGUGGGAGCAACAGG